rnacentral:rRNA from 1 species
GACGUAGGGCGCGAGCGUUGUCCGGAUUUAUUGGGCGUAAAGAGCUCGUAGGCGGCUUGUUGCGUCGACUGUGAAAACCUGCGGCUCAACCGUGUGGUCUGCAGUCGAUACGGGCAGGCUGGAGUUCGGUAGGGGAGACUGGAAUUCCUGGUGUAGCGGUGAAAUGCGUAGAGAUCAUGAGGAAGACCAGUGGCGAAGGCGGGUCUCUGGACAGUUCCUGACACUGAGACACGAAGGCCAGGGGAGCAAACGGG